UACAGAGGUCCCAAGCGUUGUUCGGAUUCACUGGGCGUAAAGGGUGCGUAGGUGGCUUGGUAAGUUUGAUGUGAAAUCUCCGGGCUUAACCCGGAAAUGGCAUUGAAUACUAUUGAGCUGGAGGUUUGGAGGGGGGACUGGAAUUCAUGGUGUAGCAGUGAAAAUGCGUAGAGAUCAUGAGGAAGACCAGUGGCGAAGGCGGGUCUCUGGACAGUUCCUGACACUGAGCACGAAGGCCAGGGGAGCAAACGGG
rnacentral:rRNA from 1 species